UUGUGCCUAUAUUCUAUAGCCAUUUAUUUAUGUAUUCACUGAACAGAAAUAUUGGAUCCCUAUUGUAUAUAUGGAAAAGAAUAGCUGUCAGCAAUAGAAUAAGUGAGAGGUAGUCCCUGCCUGAGAGUUUGCAGUCCCUUACCUGAGAUAAACACAUAUACACAAACAUUUAUGGUAAAAGUGUAUUCGGAUUAUAGAGGUUUGACUAAAACACUAAGCAUACAGAGAAGAAACAUUCAAAAUGCAUGCUAUUAAAACAAUACUAUUGCAAAAGUGGUCUGGGCAGUGAGAUGCAUGUUGUUUCUCUGGUGUGGCAUCAGCCAUCCAGAUAUUGAGGGAAAUCCCAAGAGUUUCUUUAAUCCAGUAAAGGGAAACCAAAGUGUUGUUUUCUUUGCAGCAUGGUCACUGUCAGAGAGUUUUAUAGUCUUACUGCUGAGAAUCCCCAGGCUGUUCCUAUCUCUCAUGCAGAAAUUAAGCUCACUUUAUCUUAGAAUCAUAAUGGACUUCAUGGUCCCAAGCAAAGCCAGUUGAUUCUGCAUUUGACUCAUUAGGGGAUCAGGGAUUUCUUUUGGAGAUGGAGAUCCAAGCAGAGAAUGUCUCUUCUCUCCCACACUCCACCUUUUGUUCAUCCUCAGGAUUUACAUGCAAGCUCUGCCUACCCUUAGAAGUUGGAGAAGUUUGACCUGCAGGGACAUCAUUCAAGAAAAAAGCUGGAGUCCAGCAGUGGGACUUUAUAAAAGAACUGCUGCUCCCUGUUCAGAGCCCUCCAUUAGCUCCAUCUGUUUCAAGAGAUUCUACUCAUAUCUUCAGGAAGAAUCAACCUGUCUGCAGUUAAUGAAAUGCAGUUUCAUAAAAGCUGUACCUCACAGGAGAUGGGAGCUCAAUUCACUCUGGAAGAAACCACAGGUCUGAGGUGAGUCUACCAUCUUUAUGGCCAUUAUGUAUGUUAUAUCUACUGAAAAAGAAUCCUGGGAACUUUCUCCUAACUAUGUUUUUUGAUAUAGCGUCCGUGGGGUCUUAGUCUUAAUCAUUUUAUUUGCUUUUUCUAAAAGUUGAAAUGGGCAGUCAUUUCGCAUCACUUUUCUAUAAUAAUUGAGUUCAAGCUCACUGGUGAUGCUUUUCUGUUUGAGUUUCUAACAAAUUCACUGUGUAGUUUUAGGAUACAUAUAUAGUUUUACAAAAAGCAGUUUCCUAUUUUGGACUACCACAACUGUAUUUCCUUUCUUUUGUAUAAUCCUUUAAUUUUUCUAUCAUUUUACUUAUUUUACUGGUAUAAUCUGAAGUCAAAUUUAUAAAGCUUCCAACAAGAAAGCACUGUGAAAAUUGAAUCAAUAAAUAAAGGUGCAUUUAGCA
rnacentral:lncRNA from 1 species